rnacentral:lncRNA from 1 species
CUGAAGUAAUUUUUUUUAAAAAAAAAUUAUUAAUUAGACAAUGGACCAAAACUCUGAAAAGUGAAGUGAAUUUGCCCCAACUUUUGCCAAAAAGAGUGUUAUUUGGCUUUAGCCAUAGGAAAUUUUCAAUUCAAAGUUGGUGUUCUUUACAGAAUUUGAUCCAAAAGGUAAGAAGUGUAUAAAUUAUAAUUUAACUGGUCAAGGCAAAUCAAUAAAGUAAUCAGAUAUCGAUGACAAGAAACACAAACCAAAUCGUUUGAUGUGAUAAUAGACUACUGCAGUCGGUCGAGUCGUCAAGUUGCUGCUUUGAAUCCAAUAAAUAAUUGAACUAGGCUGGUCAUUGCCGACAAUUUCAGAACGGCUUGGUAGCUGGCGUUGUCUCGAUUGAAUAAAUUAUUUGUCUUUGUGCUUGUGCUUGUUCUUGUUCCUGUGAAUGUGGAUGCUGAUGGGAAUUCAUUCUUUAUGCAUACGCAUAUAUUGUGGAUUUUGUUUCAUUUCAUGAGUAUGAAUGGAACUAAGGAAGUAAGGAUUCUCUUUUUCUGAGAUGAUUCUUACUUCU